rnacentral:rRNA from 1 species
AUUGAACGCUGGCGGCAUGCUUUACACAUGCAAGUCGAACGGUAACAGCACUUCGGUGGCUGACGAGUGGCGAACGGGUGAGUAAUACAUCGGAACGUGCCUAGUAGUGGGGGAUAACUACUCGAAAGAGUAGCUAAUACCGCAUGAGAUCUAAGGAUGAAAGCAGGGGACCUUCGGGCCUUGCGCUACUAGAGCGGCUGAUGGCAGAUGAGGUAGUUGGUGGGAUAAAAGCUUACCAAGCCGACGAUCUGUAGCUGGUCUGAGAGGACGAGCAGCCACACUGGGACUGAGACACGGCCCAGACUCCUACGGGAGGCAGCAGUGGGGAAUUUUGGACAAUGGGCGCAAGCCUGAUCCAGCAAUGCCGCGUGCAGGAUGAAGGCCUUCGGGUUGUAAACUGCUUUUGUACGGAACGAAAAGCCCUCUUCUAAUACAGGAGGGUCAUGACGGUACCGUAAGAAUAAGCACCGGCUAACUACGUG